rnacentral:rRNA from 1 species
GGGUUGUGAGGUUAAGCGACUAAGCGUACACGGUGGAUGCCCUGGCAGUCAGAGGCGAUGAAGGACGUGCUAAUCUGCGAAAAGCGCCGGCGAGGUGAUAUGAACCUUUGACCCGGCGAUGUCCGAAUGGGGAAACCCAGUGUGAUUCGUCACACUAUCGUUAACUGAAUACAUAGGUUAACGAGGCGAACCGGGGGAACUGAAACAUCUAAGUACCCCGAGGAAAAGAAAUCAACCGAGAUUCCCCCAGUAGCGGCGAGCGAACGGGGAGCAGCCCAGAGUCUGAAUCAGCUUGUGUGUUAGUGGAAGCGUCUGGAAAGUCGCACGGUACAGGGUGACAGUCCCGUACACGAAAGCACACAGGUUGUGAACUCGAAGAGUAGGGCGGGACACGUGGUAUCCUGUCUGAAUAUGGGGGGACCAUCCUCCAAGGCUAAAUACUCCUGACUGACCGAUAGUGAACCAGUACCGUGAGGGAAAGGCGAAAAGAACCCCGGCGAGGGGAGUGAAAAAGAACCUGAAACCGUGUACGUACAAGCAGUGGGAGCACCUUCGGGUGUGACUGCGUACCUUUUGUAUAAUGGGUCAGCGACUUAUAUUCUGUAGCAAGGUUAACCGUAUAGGGGAGCCGAAGGGAAACCGAGUCUUAACUGGGCGUUAAGUUGCAGGGUAUAGACCCGAAACCCGGUGAUCUAGCCAUGGGCAGGUUGAAGGUUGGGUAACACUAACUGGAGGACCGAACCGACUAAUGUUGAAAAAUUAGCGGAUGACUUGUGGCUGGGGGUGAAAGGCCAAUCAAACCGGGAGAUAGCUGGUUCUCCCCGAAAGCUAUUUAGGUAGCGCCUCGUGAACUCAUCUUCGGGGGUAGAGCACUGUUUCGGCUAGGGGGCCAUCCCGGCUUACCAACCCGAUGCAAACUACGAAUACCGAAGAAUGUUAUCACGGGAGACACACGGCGGGUGCUAACGUCCGUCGUGAAGAGGGAAACAACCCAGACCGCCAGCUAAGGUCCCAAAGUCAUGGUUAAGUGGGAAACGAUGUGGGAAGGCACAGACAGCCAGGAUGUUGGCUUAGAAGCAGCCAUCAUUUAAAGAAAGCGUAAUAGCUCACUGGUCGAGUCGGCCUGCGCGGAAGAUGUAACGGGGCUAAACCAUGCACCGAAGCUGCGGCAGCGACGCUUAUGCGUUGUUGGGUAGGGGAGCGUUCUGUAAGCCGUUGAAGGUGGCCUGUGAGGGUUGCUGGAGGUAUCAGAAGUGCGAAUGCUGACAUAAGUAACGAUAAAGCGGGUGAAAAGCCCGCUCGCCGGAAGACCAAGGGUUCCUGUCCAACGUUAAUCGGGGCAGGGUGAGUCGACCCCUAAGGCGAGGCCGAAAGGCGUAGUCGAUGGGAAACAGGUUAAUAUUCCUGUACUUGGUGUUACUGCGAAGGGGGGACGGAGAAGGCUAUGUUAGCCGGGCGACGGUUGUCCCGGUUUAAGCAUGUAGGCGGAGGUUCCAGGUAAAUCCAGUACCUUUUAACGCUGAGGUGUGAUGACGAGGCACUACGGUGCUGAAGUAACAAAUGCCCUGCUUCCAGGAAAAGCCUCUAAGCAUCAGGUAACAUCAAAUCGUACCCCAAACCGACACAGGUGGUCAGGUAGAGAAUACCAAGGCGCUUGAGAGAACUCGGGUGAAGGAACUAGGCAAAAUGGUGCCGUAACUUCGGGAGAAGGCACGCUGAUAUGUAGGUGAAGCCCCUGCGGGUGGAGCUGAAAUCAGUCGAAGAUACCAGCUGGCUGCAACUGUUUAUUAAAAACACAGCACUGUGCAAACACGAAAGUGGACGUAUACGGUGUGACGCCUGCCCGGUGCCGGAAGGUUAAUUGAUGGGGUUAGCGGCAACGCGAAGCUCUUGAUCGAAGCCCCGGUAAACGGCGGCCGUAACUAUAACGGUCCUAAGGUAGCGAAAUUCCUUGUCGGGUAAGUUCCGACCUGCACGAAUGGCGUAAUGAUGGCCAGGCUGUCUCCACCCGAGACUCAGUGAAAUUGAACUCGCUGUGAAGAUGCAGUGUACCCGCGGCAAGACGGAAAGACCCCGUGAACCUUUACUAUAGCUUGACACUGAACACUGGUCCUUGAUGUGUAGGAUAGGUGGGAGGCUUUGAAGUGUGGACGCCAGUCUGCAUGGAGCCGUCCUUGAAAUACCACCCUUUAAUGGCUGGUGUUCUAACGUAGACCCGUAAUCCGGGUUGCGGACAGUGUCUGGUGGGUAGUUUGACUGGGGCGGUCUCCUCCCAAAGAGUAACGGAGGAGCACGAAGGUUAGCUAAUCCUGGUCGGACAUCAGGAGGUUAGUGCAAUGGCAUAAGCUAGCUUGACUGCGAGAGUGACGGCUCGAGCAGGUGCGAAAGCAGGUCAUAGUGAUCCGGUGGUUCUGAAUGGAAGGGCCAUCGCUCAACGGAUAAAAGGUACUCCGGGGAUAACAGGCUGAUACCGCCCAAGAGUUCAUAUCGACGGCGGUGUUUGGCACCUCGAUGUCGGCUCAUCACAUCCUGGGGCUGAAGUAGGUCCCAAGGGUAUGGCUGUUCGCCAUUUAAAGUGGUACGCGAGCUGGGUUUAGAACGUCGUGAGACAGUUCGGUCCCUAUCUGCCGUGGGCGCUGGAGAAUUGAGGGGGGCUGCUCCUAGUACGAGAGGACCGGAGUGGACGCAUCACUGGUGUUCGGGUUGUCAUGCCAAUGGCACUGCCCGGUAGCUAAAUGCGGAAAAGAUAAGUGCUGAAAGCAUCUAAGCACGAAACUUGCCCCGAGAUGAGUUCUCCCUGAGACUUUAAGUCUCCUGAAGGAACGUUGAAGACGACGACGUUGAUAGGUCGGGUGUGUAAGCGCAGCGAUGCGUUGAGCUAACCGAUACUAAUGAACCGUGAGGCUUAACCUUACAACGCCGAAG